rnacentral:lncRNA from 1 species
GUGAGAAAUAGAUUUAAGGGCCUAGAUCUGAUAGAUAGAGUGCCUGAUGAACUAUGGAAUGAGGUUCCUGACAUUGUACAGGAGACAGGGAUCAAGACCAUCCCCAUGGAAAAGAAAUGCAAAAAAGCAAAAUGGCUGUCUGGGGAGGCCUUACAAAUAGCUGUGAAAAGAAGAGAAGAGAAAAGCAAAGGAGAAAAGGAAAGAUAUAAGCAUCUGAAUGCAGAGUUCCAAAGAAUAGCAAGAAGAGAUAAGAAAGCCUUCUUCAGCGAUCAAUGCAAAGAAAUAGAGGAAAACAACAGAAUGGGAAAGACUAGGGAUCUCUUCAAGAAAAUCAGAGAUACUAAGGGAACAUUUCAUGCAAAGAUGGGCUCAAUAAAGGACAGAAAUGGUAUGGACCUAACAGAAGCAGAAGAUAUUAAGAAGAGAUGGCAAGAAUACACAGAAGAACUGUACAAAAAAGAUCUUCAUGACCCAGAUAAUCACGAUGGUGUGAUCACUGACCUAGAGCCAGACAUCCUGGAACGUGAAGUCAAGUGGGCCUUAGAAAGCAUCACUACGAACAAAGCUAGUGGAGGUGAUGGAAUUCCAGUUGAACUAUUCCAAAUCCUGAAAGAUGAUGCUGUGAAAGUGCUGCACUCAAUAUGCCAGCAAAUUUGGAAAACUCAGCAGUGGCCACAGGACUGGAAAAGGUCAGUUUUCAUUCCAAUCCCAAAGAAAGGAAAUGCCAAAGAAUGCUCAAACUACCGCACAAUUGCACUCAUCUCACAUGCUAGUAAAGUAAUGCUCAAAAUUCUCCAAGCCAGGCUUCAGCAAUAUGUGAACGGUGAACUUCCUGUUGUUGAAGCUGGUUUUAGAAAAGGCAGAGGAACCAGAGAUCAAAAUGCCAACAUCUGCUGGAUCAUGGAAAAAGCAAGAGAGUUCCAGAAAAGCAUCUAUUUCUGCUUUAUUGACUAUGCCAAAGCCUUUGACUGUGUGGAUCACAAUAAACUGGAAAAUUCUUCAAGAGAUGGGAAUACUAGACCACCUGAUCUGCCU